UAACACAUGCAAGUCGAGCGCAAUACUAUCUUCGGAUAGUGGAGAGCGGCGGACGGGUGAGUAACGCGUGGGAACCUACCCUUUGGUUCGGAAUAACUUUGGGAAACCGAAGCUAAUACCGGAUACGCCCCGUAAGGGGGAAAGAUUUAUUGCCGGAGGGGGGGCCCGCGUUGGAUUAGGUAGUUGGUAGGGUAAUGGCCUACCAAGCCGACGAUCCAUAGCUGUUCUGAGAGGAAGAUCAGCCACACUGGGACUGAGACACGGCCCAGACUCCUACGGGAGGCAGCAGUGGGGAAUCUUGGACAAUGGGGGAAACCCUGAUCCAGCCAUGCCGCGUGAAUGAAGAAGGCCUUAGGGUUGUAAAGUUCUUUUAGUGGGGAAGAUAAUGACGGUACCCACAGAAAAAGCCCCGGCUAACUCCGUGCCAGCAGCCGCGGUAAU
rnacentral:rRNA from 1 species